CCUACGGGAGGCAGCAGUGAGGAAUAUUGGUCAAUGGGCGAGAGCCUGAACCAGCCAAGUCGCGUGAGGGAGUACUGCCCUAUGGGUUGUAAACCUCUUUUGUCGGGGAGCAAAAGCCGGACGUGUCCGGCUGUGAGAGUACCCGAAGAAAAAGCAUCGGCUAACUCCGUGCCAGCAGCCGCGGUAAUACGGAGGAUGCGAGCGUUAUCCGGAUUUAUUGGGUUUAAAGGGUGCGCAGGCGGAUUUUUAAGUCAGCGGUAAAAUCGUGGGGCUCAACCCCAUCCAGCCGUUGAAACUGGGGAUCUAGAGUGUGCGAGAGGUAUGCGGAAUGCGUGGUGUAGCGGUGAAAUGCAUAGAUAUUAGGAAGAACACCAGUGGCGAAGGCGGCUUUCUGGACUGAAACUGACGCUGAGGCACGAAAGCGUGGGGAGCGAACAGGAUUAGAUACCCCAGUAGUC
rnacentral:rRNA from 1 species